AGUGAACGCUGGCGGUAGGCCUAACACAUGCAAGUCGAACGAGUGGCGGACGUGUGAGGAAUACAUUGGAAUCUACUCUGUCGUGGGGGAUAACGUUUGGAAACUUACUCUAAUACCGCAUACGAUCGAAUGAGCCGAUGUCGGAUUAGCUAGUUGGCGGGGUAACGGCCCACCAAGGCGACGAUCCGUAGCUGGUCUGAGAGGAUGAUCAGCCACACUGGAACUGAGACACGGUCCAGACUCCUACGGGAGGCAGCAGUGGGGAAUAUUGGACAAUGGGCGCAAGCCUGAUGCAGCCAUGCCGCGUGUGUGAAGAAGGUCUUCGGGUUGUAAAGCACUUUAAGUUGGGAGGCGUUACCAACAGAAUAAGCACCGGCUAACUUCGUGCCAGCCGCCGCGGUAAUUC
rnacentral:rRNA from 1 species